rnacentral:rRNA from 1 species
AUGGAUAAAAAGUUUGGAGUGCGCAUUGAAGAGCAAGGAGGUCUUUUGCACAGGGUGAGUUGUUCUUGCCGUAAGCUGGAAUGCGCAGGCACAUCAUGUUCCCACAUUUUUUACAUAUUGGGGAUUUUAAAACAAACAAUUCUGCCCGGUUGUUGCAUUCCCACUAGGUGGACUAUGAAUGCAAAAUGUGCAUACGCACCUACCAGAAAAAACCAGAUGUAUGACUAUUCGCUAAGCCUGCAGAGGUACCGCGAGUUGCGGAAUUGUAGUCACGCCGCAAGUUUCCAGGCAUGCCACUCUGAUGAGGACUAUCACCGUCUAAAGAUGCUUUUGCAAGCACAACAUCAUGGCAAGCAAUCAAGUUUUGAACUAGCUGACAGCAAGGAGUCAACUAAUGCUCAGCAUAACAGCAUUAGGUUUGGCCCGUUGAUGCCACACUCCCAGAAAGUUGAUAAGGUUCUGGAUCCCGUGCAUGUGCCAGGACGAGGUGCACUGAAGAAAAGGCUGCAGGCAAAGACAAAGAAGUCAAGAUCACAGAAUAUCUGUGGCUAUUGCAAGAAACUAGGUCACAAUCGACGUAAAUGC